rnacentral:rRNA from 1 species
UUUGGUGGCGAUAGCGAAGAGGUCACACCCGUUCCCAUGCCGAACACGGAAGUUAAGCUCUUCAGCGCCGAUGGUAGUCGGGGGUUUCCCCCUGUGAGAGUAGGACGCCGUA